AACAAACGCUGGCGGCGUGCCUAACACAUGCAAGUCGUACGAGAAAGUCGGCUUCGGCCGAUGAGUACAGUGGCGCACGGGUGAGUAACGCGUGGGUAAUCUGCCCCCCGGUCAGGAAUAACCCGCCGAAAGGCGGGCUAAUACCCGAUAACACUGACGCUCUGCGGAGUGUCUUUCAAAGAAGGCCUCUGUUUACAAGCUUUCGCCGGAGGAUGAGCCCGCGUACCAUUAGCUAGUUGGCAGGGUAAUGGCCUACCAAGGCAACGAUGGUCAGCUGGUCUGAGAGGAGGGCCAGCCACACUGGAACUGAGACACGGUCCAGACUCCUACGGGAGGCAGCAGUGAGGAAUGUUGCGCAAUGGGGGAAACCCUGACGCAGCAACGCCGCGUGAGUGAAGAAGGCCUUCGGGUCGUAAAGCUCUGUCAGAUGGGAAGAAAUGGAUGGGGGCUAAUAUCGUCCAUCCUUGACGGUACCAUCAGGGGAAGCACCGGCUAACUCCGUGCCAGCCGCCGCGGUAAUAC
rnacentral:rRNA from 1 species